AUGUUAGAAAAUUGCAUACGGUAAAAACGCAGCGGAAAAAGAAAUCAAACAAAUUUGAUUUUUGAAAACUCUCGAGAUCAAAUCUCAAAAACCACGCAAUUAGGAUCCCUCAUGUUCUUUAAGAUUAAAGGAGAAAAGUAAGAUCGAAUCAUUACCUUUUUCGCGGAUAAAUCCUUGCCUCAAUUUGAUGAUCGUGGAAUCGGGUUCUCUUGAAGCCGCACACGCGUCCGGCCUCUAUAGGUAUCCACACGAGGUUCUUGAUUUGAUCGAUGUCCUCACCGGGGUGCUAGCUCCCUUGCAAAAGGACGUCUUUCUUGCUAGAAGAUGGAAGAGAGAAGAGAGGAUAGAUGACGGCUAGGGUUUUCUAAAAACUCC
rnacentral:lncRNA from 1 species